UCAAGACACUCUAAGCUGAUGGGAGAGAGCUUUUCUGUCAGCGUAACACCUCCACCUCUAUGUGAGGUGGUAGCUAUGUUGGCAGGGAAGUUCUCCCAUC